AUGGUUUUAGUAACGUUGGUAAAAAUAAACGUAAACAGUUAUGGUGACAUAUCACUAAUUAAAUUAAAAAAUUGUAAAAGAAAUAUAUGCACGAAAUGUAAAAAUAAAAACUGUGAUAGUUAUUAUAUAACAAGGAUAAAUUCAACUUUAAAAAUGCGUUCAAAGAAUGUAAAUACAUUAGUAACCAUAGGAAGAGUAAUCCAAAAAACAUUGGGUAAAAAAAGUAAUAAAGUUAAUAACAUAAUAAAUAAAAUAUCGAAUAAAAAUAUUUUAUUUUUAAAAAAUGAUGCUAUUGAUAGUAAAAAUAUAAUUCCCCUUAUAAAUAAAAUGAAAAAUGGAUUUUUUCAAUUAACUUAUACAGUUACUGAAAAAAAAAAUCCAUUUAAUAAUAUUAUAAAAAAAAUUAAUUCUCCUAAUAAUUGUUAUAGUUAUAAUAAUAAAGUUCAACAUUUUAGUACUAUAAAUAAAAUAAAUAUAAAAAAAUCACCAAACUUUUUAAAUAUAAAUCCGAUUGAACCAAAUGAAUAUAUAAAGGAAAAAAUAGCCAAAAGUGAUAGAAAUGGAAAAAUAGAAAAUUUUAUGAAUGAAAAAAAGGGUAUGCACUUGAAUAGAAGAACAACAAGAAGAACAUAUAUGAGUGAAAAAAAAAAACAAUACACUUUUUUAAAAUAUAAUUCAUACCGUUCUCUAUUUUUAAAAAGUUAUAACAGCCAAAAUAUACAUAAUAUAUUAAAUAUAUUAGAGAAACAUGAAAAAAAAGUAUCUCAAUUACAAUCAAUAAUUUUAAUUAAUAUAGCCGUUAUAAUAGGGAUAUGUAUUAUUGGUGCAUAUUUUUUUAGUUCUGAUAGUUUGUUAAUAAAUAAAUAUAUUAUAAAAGAAAUUGAUAGAACAAUAAAAAAUAUAAAUCAUUCCGAAAGUAUAAAAGAACAAACACGUACAUUAAUUGAUAAUUUAUUAUAUAGUGUAACAUCGGAUGAAAAAAAUAAAGAAUUAUUUUCUAUUUUUUUAGUAAAUGUAUUAAAAAAUAGUCAAAAAGAAACAAGUGAUUUAUUACUUAAAAUGUUAGAAACAGAUUAUGUUAAACAAAAAUUAAAAUUAGUUUUUUUGGAUAUAUUUACAAACUUAUGUCAUAGUAAAGAUAUGCAAACAAGUGUAUAUAAUCUUUUAUCUAAAGCUAUACAUUUACCUCAAGCAAUUAAUACAUCUAAGAUAUGGUUAAACAAUUUAUUUAACUCGAAUGAAGUGAAAGAAAAUUUAAGAAAUGUUGUAUUUAAAGAUAUAUUAAAAAAUGAAGAAAUGAUUAACACAUCAAUUGAAUAUAUGCAAAAUGUUCUUUAUAGUACUUUACAACAUAAUAAUACAAAAGAAAUUACAAAACUUUUUUUUUAUUCUAUUAUUUCUAGUCCUAAUUUUCAACAACAACUAUCAGAAAACUUAUGGAAAAUAUUAAAAUUGACUAUUUCACCUAAAUGGAUAUCUUUUGAUGAUCUUAAAAUAUCAGAUAAGCAAGUUAAUAAUAGAAUGAAAGAGUUAGUAAUAAAUAAUACUCUUAUUGAUGGUAACGGUGUAGUAGGUGGUGAUACUUUUAAAGAAAUUAUCAAUGAACGUGUUAAAAAAGAUGUUAAAAAAGAUGUUGAUGGAAACAAUAAGAGUCAUUCACAGUCCAAAGAAGUAAUAAAUAAUAACUCAACUAUUAGCAGUAAUAUAAAUUAUGAAGAACAAGGUACGAACAACAGUGAUACUGUCAAAAAUGUAGAACAAUAUGGAGAAAAUAAAAAUUUAGAAAAAUUAAAAGAAGAAAUAAAACAAACUAUAGAGCUUUAUAAUAUGAAAACAGAAGAAAGUAAUAAUAAUGGAGAUUGUAUACAUAUUGAGGGAACUAACAAUAAUGAAAGAGGAACAUUCAAUCAAGUUAAUGUUAACUGUAACAACAGUUCCAAUCUUGUUAUUGUUAAACAACCUAGUUUAAUUUCUUCUUCUUCAACAGAUAGCCAAGACAUGGUUAAAUCUGAUGAUGGUUUAGAAAAAGUAAAAGAAACAUUGUUAUCUUCAACAAAUGAAAAUUUAACAAAUAAAUAUGGUAACAUAAAUUUUAUUUAUAAACCUAAUAAGUAUCAAAAGAUUAACAAUAUUGUAUCAGAUAUAUCAGUAAAAGAUAUUGUUAAACAAUCAAAUGAUAAGACUGUUGAUGAACAUUUAUGUCUUGUUAACGAUGCAAAGCAUAUGUACAGAAAUAAUGACGUAAACAAUAUUUAUAACUUGUUUGAAAUUUUAAAAAACAUAAUUUUAGGAAAUAAUCAAAAUGAAAUAAAAAAAAAUAUUCAAACAAUCGAAAACAAAAUAAAAAUUCAGUUUCUUAACGUGUUUUUAUUUUGUUCAUAUAAAUACUACUUUUAUUAUUAUUAUAUAAGAAAAUUUAAGUUGAUUUUUGGAAAACUGUUAAAGGAGUAA
ensembl:lncRNA